AAGACUAUACUUUCAGGGAUCAUUUCUAUAGUUCGUUACUAGAGAAGUUUCUCUGAAUGUGUAGAGCACCCGAAACCACGAGGAAGAGGUGCAGUGUUUUCUUCUGAGCGUGAAGCCGGUUUCUGGUGUUGCUUAUGCAACUGCCAUUGACCAUUGAUGAUCGUUCUUUUCUCUCGAUGAGAGAAUAAGAGGAAGAAAACGCAGUCUGAGUGGU